AGGACGACGCUGGCGGCGUGCUUAACACAUGCAAGUCGAGCGGGGACAUGAAGAAGCUUGCUUCGAAAUGUCUAGCGGCGGACGGGUGAGUAACGCGUGAGCAACCUUUCCUCUACUGGGGAAUAACACAGGGAAACUUGUACUAAUACCGCAUGAGACCACAGGAGCUGCAUGGCUUAGGGGUCAAAGAUUUAUCGGUAGAGGGUGGGCUCGCGUCUGAUUAGGUAGUUGGUGAGGUAACGGCCCACCAAGCCGACGAUCAGUAGCCGACCUGAGAGGGUGAUCGGCCACAUUGGGACUGAGACACGGCCCAAACUCCUACGGGAGGCAGCAGUGGGGAAUAUUGGGCAAUGGGGGAAACCCUGACCCAGCAACGCCGCGUGGAGGAAGAAGGUUUUCGGAUCGUAAACUCCUGUCCUCAGGGAAGAGCAGAAGACGGUACCUGAGGAGGAAGCCCCGGCUAACUACGUG
rnacentral:rRNA from 1 species